rnacentral:rRNA from 1 species
AUGAACGCUAGCUACAGGCUUAACACAUGCAAGUCGAGGGGCAGCAUGGUCUUAGCUUGCUAAGGCCGAUGGCGACCGGCGCACGGGUGAGUAACACGUAUCCAACCUGCCGUCUACUCUUGGACAGCCUUCUGAAAGGAAGAUUAAUACAAGAUGGCAUCAUGAGUCCGCAUGUUCACAUGAUUAAAGGUAUUCCGGUAGACGAUGGGGAUGCGUUCCAUUAGAUAGUAGGCGGGGUAACAGCCCACCUAGUCUUCGAUGGAUAGGGGUUCUGAGAGGAAGGUCCCCCACAUUGGAACUGAGACACGGUCCAAACUCCUACGGGAGGCAGCAGUGAGGAAUAUUGGUCAAUGGGCGAGAGCCUGAACCAGCCAAGUAGCGUGAAGGAUGACUGCCCUAUGGGUUGUAAACUUCUUUUGUAAAGGAAUAAAGUCGGGUAUGGAUACCCGUUUGCAUGUACUUUAUGAAUAAGGAUCGGCUAACUCCGUGCCAGCAGCCGCGGUAAUACGGAGGAUCCGAGCGUUAUCCGGAUUUAUUGGGUUUAAAGGGAGCGUAGAUGGAUGUUUAAGUCAGUUGUGAAAGUUUGCGGCUCAACCGUAAAAUUGCAGUUGAUACUGGAUAUCUUGAGUGCAGUUGAGGCAGGCGGAAUUCGUGGUGUAGCGGUGAAAUGCUUAGAUAUCACGAAGAACUCCGAUUGCGAAGGCAGCCUGCUAAGCUGCAACUGACAUUGAGGCUCGAAAGUGUGGGUAUCAAACAGGAUUAGAUACCCUGGUAGUCCACACGGUAAACGAUGAAUACUCGCUGUUUGCGAUAUACUGCAAGCGGCCAAGCGAAAGCGUUAAGUAUUCCACCUGGGGAGUACGCCGGCAACGGUGAAACUCAAAGGAAUUGACGGGGGCCCGCACAAGCGGAGGAACAUGUGCUUUAAUUCGAUGAUACGCGUGGAACCUUACCCGGGCUUAAAUUGCAGAUGAAUUACGGUGAAAGCCGUAAGCCGCAAGGCAUCUGUGAAGGUGCUGCAUGGUUGUCGUCAGCUCGUGCCGUGAGGUGUCGGCUUAAGUGCCAUAACGAGCGCAACCCUUGUUGUCAGUUACUAACAGGUUCCGCUGAGGACUCUGACAAGACUGCCAUCGUAAGAUGUGAGGAAGGUGGGGAUGACGUCAAAUCAGCACGGCCCUUACGUCCGGGGCUACACACGUGUUACAAUGGGGGGUACAGAGGGCCGCUACCACGCGAGUGGAUGCCAAUCCCCAAAACCUCUCUCAGUUCGGACUGGAGUCUGCAACCCGACUCCACGAAGCUGGAUUCGCUAGUAAUCGCGCAUCAGCCACGGCGCGGUGAAUACGUUCCCGGGCCUUGUACACACCGCCCGUCAAGCCAUGGGAGCCGGGGGUACCUGAAGUGCGUAACCGCGAGGAGCGCCCUAGGGUAAAACUGGUGACUGGGGCU